rnacentral:rRNA from 1 species
AAAGGAAUUGACGGGGGCCCGCACAAGCAGUGGAGUAUGUGGUUUAAUUCGAAGCAACGCGAAGAACCUUACCAGGUCUUGACAUCGAGUGAAGAACAUAGAGAUAUGUUCGUCCUUCGGGACACAAAGACAGGUGGUGCAUGGUUGUCGUCAGCUCGUGUCGUGAGAUGUUGGGUUAAGUCCCGCAACGAGCGCAACCCUUACCAUUAGUUGCUACAUUCAGUUGAGCACUCUAAUGGGACUGCCGUUGACAAAACGGAGGAAGGUGGGGACGACGUCAAAUCAUCAUGCCCCUUAUGACCUGGGCUACACACGUACUACAAUGGCAAUAAACAAUGGGCAGCAACACAGCGAUGUGAAGCGAAUCUCCAAACAUUGCCUCAGUUCGGAUUGUAGGCUGCAACUCGCCUACAUGAAGUCGGAAUUGCUAGUAAUCGUGGAUCAGAAUGCCACGGUGAAUACGUUCCCGGGCCUUGUACACACCGCCCGU